rnacentral:other from 1 species
GAACCCCUGCCGUGUUCGUGAUUGGAAGAUGUGCUUUGACCCAACACCAUAAAAAAAAGGGAGCCUUUCAUCGGCUUCGGUGUGCAAGUCUGUCUUUUUAGAACAGAAAGCCUGAAAGAGCCUGAAGGCAGCCCGCAAUGAACCCAUGGUUCAAAGUCCUGCCAACACGGCAUUGUGGCGGGGGUUUU